GAGUUUGAUCCUGGCUCAGAACGAACGCUGGCGGCGUGCUUAACACAUGCAAGUCGAACGUGAUCCGGAGCUUGCUCCGGUGAAAGUGGCGCACGGGUGAGUAACGCGUGGAUAAUCUGCCCUGGUAUYUGGGAUAACAUCUCGAAAGGGGUGCUAAUACCGGAUAAGCCUACGGACUCUUCGGAGUCUGCARGAAAAGGUGGCCUCUAUUUAUAAGCUUCCGUAUCAUGAUGGGUCCGCGUACCAUUAGCUAGUUGGUGGGGUAAUGGCCUACCAAGGCGACGAUGGUUAGCUGGUYUGAGAGGAUGAUCAGCCACACUGGAACUGAGACACGGUCCAGACUCCUACGGGAGGCAGCAGUGGGGAAUUUUGCGCAAUGGGGGAAACCCUGACGCAGCAACGCCGCGUGAGUGAUGAAGGCUUUCGGGUCGUAAAGCUCUGUCAGAGGGGAAGAAAUGAAACGUGCUAAUAUCACGUUUUCUUGACGGUACCCUCAAAGGAAGCACCGGCUAACUCCGUGCCAGCAGCCGCGGUAAUAC
rnacentral:rRNA from 1 species